UAAACACAGAGAAGGCGGAACUGCUGCAGAAGCUUCUGGAUAUGAAUGAGUGAAGAAACAAACAGAUGGGAGGAAGACACGUAGUUGGGAGGAAGACAUGUGGCCGUGUGUUCUUCUGCUUUUAUUUUAUUGUACAUGUUGCAUGGUCAAAAUUAUGUUUGAGCAAAUGUGAACAAUUGAGUUUAUUUACCAAAGAAUCCCCUUUUGCCCUGUACCAUGAAACAGACAUACGGACAACCUGUUAUCUCCAUAGAAAUUACUGAGGAGACCAUCCCAGGCUCAACAGAACAACAGAUGAGGUGUUCAAAUAAGUAAUCACAAUUUAAACCAGAAAAUAACUGUAUGACAAGGGGGCAACUAUGAUAGUAUGCCUGACUGGUAAAAAUGAUCAGAUGCUUUUAUUGUUUUAUAUUUGACUUGUCUUGAGAUGGUUCUUAUUUACUAACUGGUGUGCGUCAUCAUGUACAUAUAUAUCCAUGAGUAAAAGUUUGUAUUUAGUGUGUAGUGUAGAUUUGGAUUUGUGAAAUACAUGAAACCAUGUACUCCACUUCAAUAAAACAGGACAAAUAAUGUAAAGUACCGAUCUUUCUGAAACUGUACAUGGGAGGAAUUAGUGCUGGGUACUGGGAAGUACUUUACUAUUUCCAGUCUCUUGAGUACUGCCAGCCUUCAUUGCAGGUAGAUAAACUUUGUUUACUUUGUUUGAAAUGCAGCUCUCCUCCAUUUACUGCUUCUAAAGACAGUUCAGAUUAAAACUAUCAGGGCAGACGAGACAAGAUGAUUUUUUUUUUAAAUCAUAGAAAGAAUCGGAAGUUAAAUCAAAUUACUGUCUCCCUAGCAACCAGUUUGUUGAGUCUAAUUUUAAGGUGCAGAAGUUCACUGUUACAGUGUUAUUACACAUUAAAUAAUCUUCAGAUUUAACUAUAGUCUACAAUGUGUCUGGUAGUCGAAUGUUACUGCACGGGACAACCUACUCUAACCAAGCGAGGAGGAAUGGUUUACAUAUGAUGUGUCUUACGGAUAUGAAUAUUGAUGAGCGUAAGAUACACGCCCACCCUGUCCUUGUCUGCUGAACAGGCCACAAUAAUCUAGUAGUGUUAAUUACAAUUUAAUGGUUAUAACUGGAUUAAAAA